rnacentral:rRNA from 1 species
AUCAGUAGCUGGUCUGAGAGGAUGAUCAGCCACAUUGGGACUGAGACACGGCCCAGACUCCUACGGGAGGCAGCAGUGAGGAAUAUUGCUCAAUGGACGAAAGUCUGAAGCAGCAACGCCGCGUGAGGGAUGAAGGUGCUCUGCAUCGUAAACCUCUGUAGUCGGGGACAAAUGUGGGGUUACUACCCCAUUGAUGGUACCCGAAAAGUAAGGAUCGGCUAACUACGUGCCAGCAGCCGCGGUAAUACGUAGGAUCCAAGCGUUGUCCGGAUUUACUGGGUGUAAAGGGUGCGCAGGCGGACUGGUAAGUCAGAAGUGAAAUCUCGGCGCUCAACGCCGAAACGUCUUUUGAUACUGUCAGUCUUGAAUCGGGGAGAGAUCCGUGGAAUUCCGAGUGUAGCAGUGAAAUGUGUAGAUAUUCGGAAGAACACCAGCGGCGAAGGCAGCGGAUUGGCCCUUGAUUGACGCUCAGGCACGAAAGCAUGGGGAUCAAACAGGAUUAGAUACCCUGGUAGUCCAUGCCCUAAACGAUGAUCACUUGGUGUCGGCCGCAAGGUCGGUGCCGGAGCUAACGCGUUAAGUGAUCCACCUGGGGAGUACGCUCGCAAGGGUGAAACUCAAAGGAAUUGACGGGGGCCCGCACAAGCAGUGGAGCAUGUGGUUCAAUUCGAUGCAACGCGAAGAACCUUACCUAGGCUUGAAAGGUCGUCUAAACAGGUGAAAGCCUGCUACCCGCAAGGGGGGCGAUACAGGUGCUGCAUGGCUGUCGUCAGCUCGUGCCGUGAGGUGUUUGGUUAAGUCCAGCAACGAGCGCAACCCCUGAGUUUAGUUGCCAGCACAUAAUGGUGGGAACUCUAAACUAACUGCCUACGCAAGUAGUGAGGAAGGUGGGGACGACGUCAAGUCAUCAUGGCCCUUACGUCCGGGGCUACACACGUGCUACAAUGGGCAGUACAGAGGGCAGCUACCGUGCAAGCGGAUGCCAAUCUCAAAAAGCUGUUCACAGUUCGGAUCGGGGUCUGCAACUCGACCCCGUGAAGUUGGAUUCGCUAGUAAUCGCAGAUCAGCAAUGCUGCGGUGAAUACGUUCCCGGGCCUUGUACACACCGCCCGUCAAGCCAUGGAAGCUGGGGGUGCCUGAAGUGCGUAACCGCAAGGAGCGUCCUAGGGUAAAACUGGUAACUGGGGCUAAGUCGUAACAAGGUAGCCGUACCGGAAGGUGCGGCUG